rnacentral:rRNA from 1 species
GAUGAACGCUGGCGGCGUGCUUAACACAUGCAAGUCGAACGAUGAAGCCCAGCUUGCUGGGUGGAUUAGUGGCGAACGGGUGAGUAACACGUGAGUAACCUGCCCUUGACCCUGGGAUAAGCGCUGGAAACGGCGUCUAAUACCGGAUACGAGCUUCCACCGCAUGGUGAGUUGCUGGAAAGAAUUUCGGUCAAGGAUGGACUCGCGGCCUAUCAGGUAGUUGGUGAGGUAACGGCUCACCAAGCCGACGACGGGUAGCCGGCCUGAGAGGGUGACCGGCCACACUGGGACUGAGACACGGCCCAGACUCCUACGGGAGGCAGCAGUGGGGAAUAUUGCACAAUGGGCGCAAGCCUGAUGCAGCAACGCCGCGUGAGGGACGAAGGCCUUCGGGUCGUAAACCUCUUUUAGCAGGGAAGAAGCGAAAGUGACGGUACCUGCAGAAAAAGCACCGGCUAACUACGUG